AUGUGCCCCACGCACUAUUGCGGUCUAACGUUGCACGCGCUGCUAAGGCUUUCGCCUUGCACGCUGCCAUAUCACAACGCCCUUCUUGAGCCGCCCACAGCCUCCUACCUCUGUACGGCUCUUAUGGGUAACACCCCUGACCAUUCACCAUUUGUGUUAUAUUUAUCAUCAUUUAAACGUCAAAAAUCAAGUGAAAUGUAUUACUUGUGUCUUAAUUCUUAG